rnacentral:rRNA from 1 species
UUUGCCUACGGGAGGCAGCAGUGGGGGAUAUUGCACAAUGGGGGAAACCCUGAUGCAGCGACGCCGCGCGUGGGAAGACGGUCCUCUGGAUUGUAAACCACUGUCCCCAGGGACGAAAAUGACGGUACCUGGGGAGGAAGCUCCGGCUAACUACGUGCCAGCAGCCGCGGUAAUACGUAGGGAGCAAGCGUUAUCCGGAUUUAUUGGGUGUAAAGGGUGCGUAGACGGAGAAGCAAGUUAGUUGUGAAAUCCCUCGGCUUAACUGAGGAACUGCAACUAAAACUACUUCCCUUGAGUACUGGAGG